AUCUACAAUAACCAUGUUAUUAAUUACACACAGAGAAAAUACUAAUGUUUGUUCACUGCCAUGUGUAUUUGUUUUCAAUGAAGUCGUUGAGAAAUCAAUCCGUGGAGCGGUUGAUUAUCAUACACGUUGUGAUGUGUGUAUUGUUGUAGUCUUAUCUGUCAUAAACUGUAACGAGAUUAUGGGGCGCGUGUGUGGCGCGAUCGUUGUGUAUGCUGCACAUGUUUUGGCUGCUACUCUCCAUUGUUUUUGCUGUUUUGUUGCUGCUUACCUGACUACUACUUCAUGUCACCAAUAUUGUUUCAUCCUUCAGUUCAAUAAAUUCAUAGAAAUGAUUAUGGCUGUCAUGUUCUCAUUUCUUUAUAAACACAGUGACUGAAGACGGUGACGGUGACGUCACUUCCGGGUCGGAUCUUUGUGCUUGGACAGGUAACGCGGUUUGUCUGCUCACCUGCUGUGUUCGGCUCAUGUGGCAGGGAGCUAAUGUUUGUGUGUCCUGCAGAGCGGCUGACUUGGGGCUUUCAGAGACUCCUGUGUGUGUGUGUCACCUAGAUGGCCUGCUGCGGUGAAGGCCGGUAGCUGUGCGAUUCUCUCCCUCUACUCUGGUGUGUGUCAUACCCAGCCGACCCGGCUAAUCGAUCCCAGCUGCCUAACAGUGUGUGAGCGACGUCAGCUGCCCAAUAGUGUGCGAGUGACGUCGGCAUCAGCUGAUCGGGUGCGGCGUGUUUAAAGCGACAUAUCGCCACCAGUUACGGGGGACCGCUGCUGUUUUUUUUUUUUGUUUGUUUCUGUGCUUUUUCUGUGCU